rnacentral:lncRNA from 1 species
GUAGCAGAACUCCAUGUUCUAAUAGCCCCGGCAAAGUUGUUUUUAAUACUUUUUCUCUACGAAUUUUCAUUAAAAUUUAAUUCCAUUUUAACUUUGUCAAUUUUCCCCAAAGAUAAAUUAAGACACACAGAGAGAUUGUCAUUUCCUGUUUGAAGUCUCAUUCCUGUGUACAAUGUCAGUCUUUUUUAUUUAGGCCUAUGCCAUUCCAUCAGGGUAAAUAACUUUCUAACUAGUCAUUUAAGAGCAACUCCCGGGAAACUGUGAUGCAAUCCCACAUAUCAGCCAGACUUCAAAAGCUGCCAGAUUAUUGUGAAAGGAGAAACACUGUUUUCGAAGGCUGCUGAUAAUGCCUAUUAGCCAGAAGAAAGAGCCUGAAUCAUUCAAAGGUUUUCCAUCUAGUAAAGAAGUGUGGUAAAAAUCUUGCCCAGAUCUGCAUGUGCUAAGCAUCUACGUAAGUUGGAGCAUCAUAUUAAUGACACCCAGUGAAGAAACGAAAGAAUGAAGUGUAAUUACUAUAUCAAAAAUCCACAGAAUGUGAAAGUAUAAAGGAAAACUCUCAGGUGAGACUCGAUUAUUUUUAUUUCAAAGAUCUAGGUAAAAAUGUGAACAGAUUGGGAGGCUGAGGCAGGAGAAUCACUUGAACCCAGGAGGCAGAAGUUGCAGUGAGCCAAGAUUGCACCAUUGGACUCCAGCCUGGGCAACAGACAAGACUCUAUCUCAAAAAAAAAAUGUGAACAGAUAUAUUGACAUAAAAUUCAUAAAACAUAUGGAUAUACUAAAAACUAGGAAGUCUGGUUGCUUCUGAGGAUAAGAGUUGAGGACCUGUUUCAAGAAUACUUUGCACAGCUUGUACUAUUGCAGUAUUUGAAUUUUUUCUUGUACAUGUAUAACUUUUUUAAAAAGAAUGAGAAAUGCUGUACAAGUGCAACUAUUUUUACUGUAAGUUUUUAUUUCCAUAAAACUAUAAUUAAGUGUGUGGUCAAUAGAUCCUGUUAUAUAGCUAUGAUAUCCCUUGAAUUUGUUUACCUGGUAACACUAGCUCACGUUUGUAAAUCCUUUGGAACUCCCAAAGCGAUUUUACAUACAUUACCUAAUUUGUAAGAUUACAAAACUAUUACAUUAGCUUUUCUGGUUUUCUUGUCUUAAUACGUGAUUAUCAUAUUAAACUGCAGUGUUUUUUUUUUUCCAUCAAGUCACACACACAAAACAGGAAACCAGCAGUUGUAAUUUCUUCAGCAAUUCUUAAUGUAAGUUUUUAAUAGUUUAGUACUUUUCUUUCAUAAGUAUUGGACCAAGCUGUAAUGGAAUUAUACGACUCAUGCUUUCAGAACAGAGCCUUCUGUUACUCGUGUUUUUAUCCUGAUGGCCAUAUGACCAUGUGAAGUUCCAUCAUGAUUCUGUUGGAUGUUACCUUUGUCUUAUCCACUGAACUCAAGCCAGGGUGUUGGAGAAUUCAAUAGCUGAGUCUGAGGGUAAAUUAAAAUACCAGUCAAAAUUAAAUGGACUGUGUGAAACAGGAGUGAGCUUACAGGUUAUUAUGAGAUUUGUCCUGCCCAGUUUAAUACAACCCCUUCUCUGCUGAAGGGUAAGUAGGAAGGCUUUUCAUACAAAUAGAAGACCAGGUCAAAAAAAAAUCCACUCCUUUUCCUUCUGCUUGGCUUACUGGACUUGUAGGCAGACCUAGUUUUCCUACUGUAUUAAUGGCUAUGGAGCUGAAUUUCUUUGCAAUAGAAGUUGUUAUUUGAGUUUAGCAACAUUGAUAAAAUUGGCUCAUCAAACCGUUUUAUAUUGAAAAGGGCUUCAUGGACAGUGACCUGCUGUGAGUUGGCUGACAGCUGAAAUGAUGAACAAUACUGUUUAGUUCUGCCCAUCGUGCCUGCCAGAGACUAAGAAUAACUUGACCAGUAAGGAGGGUGGAUCUUUGUUAGCUGUUCUGCAUUAUUUCUUCCAAUUUAGUAUUUAACCCCAAGAAAGAAUCAAUCGCAUGUGGGUGGCUAUUCAUUGUAAUAUUUAAAGGUAAAGUAGCACAGUGGUCAAGGGUGAAGGCUAGGAGUCAGACUUGAAUUCAAAUGCCAGCUCCACCCUUUACCACACAUGGGAACAUGGGCAAGUUACUUCACUUCUUUAACCAUCAGUUUCCUCAUUUCUAAGACAAAUCUUGUUGGAAUGACUUUUUUUCAAAAUGAAUUAAGUGUAUAGUAGAGGGCCUAUAGUUUUAUAUGGUUUAUAUAAUUACUAAAACUUUUUGUAUAUGAUUAUAAUAACUACAUACAAAAUGUCAUGGCAAAUGCAUAAAAACUGACUAUUGACUAUGCUAUCCCCCACUCCACUCCCCACCAUUCAUUCCUAAGCCCACUCCAGUCAGGCAAUCUGCCAUUCCACUGAUACUACACUUGACAAGGUCACCAAUGACAUUUACACUGCUAAAUGCAGUGGCCAGUUCUCAGUCUUCAUCAGAGUUGAGCACUCAGCAGCCUUUGGAAAAGUUAAUCUUGCAUUCCACUGCCUGCCCUUUUUUGUUUUCCUAAUCUCUAAACAUUGGAGGGCUCCAGGGCUCCAUCCUCUGGCCUCUUCUCUAUCCAUAACCCCUCCCCUGGUGACCUCAUCUAAUCUUGGAGAUUUACUAUCAUGUAGAUGCUACUGACUUCUCAAAUAUAUAUUUCCAGUUCACAUCUCUCCUGUGAGUUCCAGACUUGUUUAUCCAGAUGCCUGUUCAAUUUCUGCUUGAAUGUCUUAGGUAGUUUCUCAAACUUGGCAUGUGAAAAACUGAACACCUUGAUUUUCCUAAAAAUCUGUUUCUCUAUCAUUUAGCUGCUCAGCUAAAAACUUUGGAGUUAGACAUAUGGACAGCCCACCCCAAGGGAAGAAUCAGAGGAGAAGGGACACAAGACCCCAGAAACACACAAAGCACCUUAAUAUGCAUGCUGCAUCUCUCUAAAAUUGUGGAACCUGUUUACCUGCUCUGGAGAAUGGCUGCCUGUGGCAGACAUAGGAGUUGUCCUCAUGCUGUGCUUCCUAUCUUCCACAGUAAUUGACUUGUAGCUGCAAUACAGUUACCAACCAGGAAUACAAUUUCUCAGCCCCAUGUCUUGCACCUACAGCUAAGUGUGGCCAUGUGACCAGUUUUCACCAAUUAAGUGUGAAUAGCAACAAAGUGCACCACCUUCAAUUGGAGGCUUUGAAGAAGCAGGGCAGCCUUCCCUUGCUCUCUUUCCCCUUGUUCUGGUGGGAUACAGAUGACAAUAAGGCCCUGGGUUUUGAGGUAGCCACAAGAUGCAAAAUACCUCAGACCUGAGUCACCACAAGGAAGAGAGAAGCCCACUGACAUGGAAUACCCAGCCUAGUCUACAGAUGAAUAAGAAAUAAACUUCUAUUAUGUUCGAACAUUACAGAUUUUGUUCUGUUAUAGCAGUUUAUCUCACCCUGACUAAACUGUUGCCUAUCUUCCAAGAUAGGCCCUCCUUCCCUGAAAGUGACUUUUUCAUACAUGUAAUCUGUAUUUUAAUUCAUAUUCUCCAAAGCAUAUCCACAUCUAUUCAACUAUUUUCAUGUCUUCCAUCAAUAAAAACCUCAUAUAAAUAUAUACGAGGUUUUUUUUUUUUUUUUUAAGACACUUUGGAGUUAUCCUUGACCCUGUCCUCUUUUCUCAUACCCAUAUACGAACCAUUAAGAAAUCUUGUUGCCUCAACCUUCAAAAUCUAUCCAGGAUUUAACCACUAAUCAACCCCUUCUCCUCUGUCAGUCUGUCCUCCUAGAUUUCAUCUUGACCAUCCUUAGAAACUCCUAACCAGUCUUAUUGCUUUCGCCAUUGUACAUCCAGACUAUUCUCAAAUGGCAACCAAUGAGAUCGUGCUGCACUUCUGCUCAAAACCUGCAAAUGGCUUCCUACCUCACUUAGGGUAAAACCAAAUGGGGCCUGCACAAUCUGGCUUCACCUCCUAGUGCUUUCCUCCUUGCUCAUUCAGCCCAGCCACACUGCUCUUCUUGCUUUUCCAUGAACAUGCUAGACACACUCUCACGUUUGGGCUUUUGCACUUGUUUCCCUUCCCAGAAUGCUCUCCUCGUGGAUACGCACAUAUCCAGCCCCUUAUCUCCUUCAAAUUUUAGUUCAAAUGCCACUUUCUCAAUGAGGGUUUUCUAACCAGCCUAUUUAAACUUACAGUCUCCCAUUGUCUAAAGCCUUGUCUCCCUUCCUGCUUUACUUUUCUUCAUAGUAAUUACCACCAUCUGACUUAUAUUUGCUUGCCUUUCUUGUUGAUUUUCUGUUUUACCCACUCAAAUGUAGUCCAUAAGGGAAGGGAUUGUUGUUUCAUUUGUUCACUUCUCUAUCCCCUGGGCCUGAGCCUGGCUUUGGGUAGGCACUCAGUUAAUGUUUGUGUAAAUUAAUAAAUGAAUGAAUGACAUUUACUACCUUAUAUGGUACUAUAAUAUAAAAGCAUAUGAUGCAGAGAAUUAGGAAUCUAGAAACUAGUUUUGACUCAGCAUCCUAUGUACAAGGUUAUGUAGACAAGUCAUUUCACCUCUCUGAGCCUCAUUUUUCUAAUAUUUAAAAUCUACCCUCCAGAGCUGUAAAGUGUUCAAAUAUAGAUUAUCUUAUGGAGUGCAGUCUCAUGCUUGCACAAUGAAAGAAGUUAAUUUCUACAUACCUUCCAUGUACCCACAAUCAAUGGUUUAUGUAAACCUCACCUCAGGAAAAUUAAGUUCUGUAUGAGCAGAUUUUUUUUUAAAUUGCCACUGAAAUAAAUACCAAAUUAAGCCAAAUAAAUACCAAAACAGACUUUGCAUUUUUCAUCUUUAGCCAAGCUCCUCUGGUUUGCAUACUCAUAAUAUAAUUCAAAUGACCAUUUUUGGAGUUUUGAUUUUUAGUGCUCUUUUUCUCUGCUAGGAGAAAUGAAUAUCUGAUGCUUUGUUUUUCCAAAUUGUUGUAUGAAAACUGAGUAAUGCUAUAAAGCUUUUUAAAUAUUUUAGAGGUAUAGCAAGUGAACUAUUUUAUAAGUUUCUGGGAUUUUUGAAAAUAUUUUUUAUUUUUAAUUUUUACUGAGACAGGGUCUUGCUCUGUUGCCCAGGCUGGAGUGCAGUGGUGUGAUCUCAGCUCACUGCAGCCUCUGCUGCCCAGGUUCAAGCGAUUCUCAUGCCUCAGCCUCCCAAGUAGCUGGGACUACAGUCCUGUGCCACCAUGCCUGACUAAUUUUUUUUGUAUUUUUAGUAGAGAUACGGUUUCGCCAUGUUGGCCAGUCUGGUCUCGAACUCCUGACCUCAAGUGACCUGCCCACCUCAGCCUCCCAAAGGGCUGGGAUUACAGGCAUGAGCCACUGCACCCAGCCUGAACAUAUUUUUUAUGUUCAAUAUAAUGUUGACUACCUAGUAAAGUCAUAUUUGUUCAAAUUCCCCUGAUUUAUUUUCUAAUGAAUACCUCGAUAUUUCUCUUAUAUGCUGGUCACUUAUCAAAUGAUUCCCAGUGAACACUUUUGAUUGAUUAAUGUAUAACUUGAUCAGGUACUGAAUUUGCAUUUGCUUAGUAAGGCCCACCUUGAAAAAUAGUGCAAAUAAUUUAUUCAGGUCAGAUAGGGAGAAAGAAAUCAUAAAAAUACUAAACCAAACAAACUUUAGAAGUGGCUGUUAAUAGAUAAGAUUUUCAAGGCCCAUGAUAAAGGGAUUCUAGUUCUAGAUCUGCUUUCCAUAUUCUUCAAUUCCAAGGGACAUCUUCAGCGUAGCUCCUGACUGGCCUGGCUAACGCUUCGUGCAUCCUUUCUUGAGCUUUGAAGUUUGUCCUGUUUGCCCCUCAAUCCUCAUAAGGUCUCCUUGUGCAUGUGCCCCUCCCUGAGUUUGUGUGUGAGUUGCUGUCUCAUUCCUGGUCUAUGUUCCCUAUGUUUUUAUUUCCUAUCUUUUAGUAUGUAAGUAGGUAGAUAGACAGAUUGACUGAUGAUUGAUUGAUAGAAAUAGAUAUAUAAUUUAUUUUCCCAUGGGUAGAUCUUUAAGGUUUUCAGGCAUGGGAGUAAGAUAACCACCCUAUCCCUCUGUGUGGUGGAAUAGGGUAGAGUAUGGCUGUGGCCAGAGAGACAACAGAACAGUGUAAGAAAGUGUAAAAGUCUUGAACUAUAGCAUAGAUACGCAAGAAAUAAAUGAAAAUGCUGCUGUUUAAUGUGCUGUUUGCAAUUUUUAAAAGUCUAUCAGUGGGAGAAUUGAAUAGGUAAAUAAAGUUUUCAUUGUUAACUUUGUAACAAUAAGUUUCUGAUAAUCUGUAACACAACAAUAAAGUAAGAAAGCUCAAAAGUAUUCUCAAAUUUCCCCAUCAGGGAAUAAUUUCUUCCUGAAUAUCACUCACAGCUCCCUGGAAUAAUAAUACAGUAUAACCUUUUUAUUCAAUUGACACCUAUGAGCCAAUUUCUAUUGUUUCUCAACCAACCCUCCUACUCUUCACCAGUCUGUGUUGGGGCCAUAUCUAUGUAUUCACAUACAUAGUAUUCUUUUCUUACAUCUAUCCUAGAAUAUGUAUGUAUAACACCAUAAUACAAGUCAACUGUCUCUUAUCUGCAACCACAAAUCCAUAAAGCUCUGAAAACCAGAAGUUUGUUUUAUGAUUGGUACCAAAAUUUAUUUUGUGCAAAACCUGGCUUGAACAGACAUGAGGCUUGCUAGCUGAUAUGCCCCACUAGAUGGUGAGCUUUAUGGAGGCAGUCUUGAUUCCUCCUGUCUGCCUGGUAUCUAGUGAAUCUCAACAAAUAUCAAAUAUUUGGAAUAAGCAAAUGAAUAUUUUCUAUCAAUUUAAUAUAUUUGAAUUUAUUAGUCUUCCUCUGUUGUUCUUAUUUGUUUUUUGAGACGGAAUCUCACUCUGUCACCCAGGCUGAAGUGCAAUGGCAUGACCACAGCUCACCGCAGCCUCAAACUCCCAGGCUCCAACAAUCCUCCUGCCUCAGCCUCUUGAGUAGCUGAGACUACAGGCACACACCACUGCACUCAGCUAAUUUUUGUGUUUUUUUGUAGAGAUGGGGUUUCGCCAUGUUGGCCAGGCUGGUCUUGAACUUGGCUCAAGGGAACCACCCACCUCAGCCUCCCUAAGUGUUGGGAUUACAGACAUGAGCCACUGCGCCUGGCCUCUGUUCUUAUUUUUUAAAUGUUAAAACUUUGAGAAAACAAGAGUUAGGGCUAAUAAGUGCUUUUCAAAAAUUUAUUUUUAAACUGAAAAUAUAAACAUUUGGUCAGAUUGAAAAAUCAAUGAUGGAACCAAGAAUAAUAUAGUGUUUCCUGAGUUUUAGAUUAGUAUUUUCUUACCUAGAUAAGACUAGUAUUAUGAAUGCCAGAUAAUUCCAAGGCCAAGAAAAACAACUUUCUUUAAAAUCUAUUAAAAUGUUAUGAGUGAAAAUGAUGAAAAUAACGUUAUUUUACUCCUGUGCCUGAAAACACUUAAGGGGUCCCCACUGGGGAAAAAUAUGAAUCAAUAUCUACAUAUGUAUAUAUUUACUUAUACAUAUAUUAUACCACUAAAAAAUCAGAAAUAAGAAGGUAGGGCAGAUAGAUCAAGAAUGACAUAGCAACUUACAUACGAACUUAGGUAGGAGAACUUGUAAAUGUAUUUUGAAUAUUUGAUGCUUCUCCAGAUUCUUUCACCUUUUCUUUAUACAUGCUUUUAUGUGGGUUCACAUAUAUAAAAAUUAUGUAUAUUGUAUACAAGUUUGUAUUUUUUUCUACAUUUUGAGGAAAUUUUGAGGAAGCAAACUUCUGCUUUAUGAAACAUCCACUCAUGACAUCAAUAAUUGCCAAGUAGAAUCUUUUUCAUAAAACACUCAUGACCUAAAUUGAAAAACAUAAAAGUUUUAUUGAAGUUACAAAUGUCAGGACACAAGUACUGUUAUCAAAUAUUAGAAUUAUGAUAUACCAUAACAUCUAUUAUUCUGCCUUGCAUUAUCAUUCUAAAUUUUGUAAAUAUUUGUUGGGUCAUAAAGAAAUAAAUUUCUCUUUGAGCCAUCUAACUUACUUCCUUCUAAUAUCCAAUUUAUUGAAUAGGAUGCCAUUCUAUUUCCUCCGAUGAAUUUUCAUCUGAUGUCCAUUUGCAGUUCACCCUUAAACAACAUGGAUUUGAACCGCAUGGGUCUAUUUAUACGUGAAUUUUUUUUAGUAAAUAUAUUGAAAAAUUUUUUGGAGAUUUGCAACAACUUGAAAAAACUUGCAGACAAACUGCAUAGCAUAGAAAUACUUUCGAAAAUUUUUUUUUGGCCGAGCGCGGUGGCUCAGGCCUGUAAUCCCAGCACUUUGGGAGGUCGAGGCGGGCAGAUCACCUGAGCUCGGGAGUUUGAGACAAGCCUGGCCAACAUGGUGAAACCCCGUCUCUACUAAAAAUACAAAAAUUUACCGGGCAUGGUGGUGGGCGCCUGUAGUUCCACCUACUCGGGAGGCUGAGGCACGAGAAUCACUUGAACCCGGGAGGCGGAGGUUGCAGUGAGCCGAAAUAGCACCACUGCACUCCAGCCUGGGUGACACAGCCAGAUUCCGUCUCAAUAAAUAAAUAAAUAAAUAAAUAAAUAAAUAAAUAAAUAAAUUUUAAAGUUAGGGCCAGGCACGGUGCUUCACACUUACAAUCCCAGCACUUUGGGAGGCUGAAGCGGAAGGAUCAUUUGAGCCCAGGAGUUUGAGACCAGGAGUUUGAGACCAGGAGUUUGAGACCAACCUGAGCAACAUAGUGGUACCCCAUUGCUACAAAAAAAUAAAAAGUAAAAAGUUAGCAAGCUGUGGUGGCACUCCUGAAGUCCCAGCUCCUCAGGAGUGGGAGGAUCACUUGAGCCUGGAAGGUUGAGGCUGCAGUGAUCCUUGAUCGCAAACACUGUGCUCUAGCCUGGGUGACAGAAUGAGACCCUGUCUCAAAAAAAAAAAAAAAAGAAAAAAGAAAAAAAGAAAAGAAAAGAAAAAAAUAGGAAUAGAAAAAGUUGGGUAUGUCAUGAGUGCAUAAAUACAUAAAUAUGUGUAGCCACUAAUCUAUUUUAUCAUUUACUGCCAUGAAAUACUUGAGUCGGCCAAACCAACCCCUUCUCUUCCUCUUCCUCUUCAGCCUACUCAACAUGAAGACAAUGAGAAUUAAGACUUUAUUAUUAUCCACUUCCACUUAAUGAAUAGUAAAUAUAUUUUUUCUUAUGAUUUUCAUAAUAUUUUACUUUCUCUAGCUUACUUUAUUGUAAGAAUACAGUAUAUAAUACAUGCAAUAUACAAAAUAUGUGUUAAUUAACUGUUUAUGUCAUUGGUAAGGCUUCUGGUCAACAGUAGCCUACUAGUAGUUAAUUUUGGGCGGAUCUAAAAGUUAUACAUGGGUAAUUGACCAUGUAGAAGUCGGCACACCUAACACCCAUGUUAUUCAAAGGAUUCAUGGGUCAACUGUAUUUCACUAUUUUUAUCUAUUUGUAAAUUAUUAAUAAUUGCUUUAUGUAUAAAAACAACAGCUGUCUCAUCAUCAUUAUAAUGUCAAUUGUUCCAUCCUUAUACUAUUAAUAUGAUAAAUAUACAUUUAUACUUCAAAUGACAGAAAAGUAGGCAUUAAUCAGCAAAGCAGUUCAGGAAAAUUAAUCUGGCAGGACUGAAUAAAAUGGGCUUGAAGAAAGUAGGCUUAAAGCAGAAAUAUAUUGGCUAGGACUCCAUUGCCAUUAUCUAAACAAGAAUUAAUGAGUUUCCUAACUGGGAAUGAAAUAGAAGAAAUGGAAAGAAGGGACAGUUUUAAAAUGUAAUGAAGGGAAAAUUGAUGCAAUUGGAUAACUGGUUGAAUAUAAGAAGCAAGACAGACUAUCAUAAUUGUUAGAUAUUUCAGAUAAUGUGGGCAUGAAAGAAAGAGAUGCCAAGAUGGUAGUAGGUAGUAGAGAGAAGGCCAAGGAAAUACUUGUAUUUCCUGAAGUUGGGAAAUACUUAUACUUGAAGAGUGUAGAAAGGAAGGAAUCAGCAGAGAGAGCUAAGGAGAAGCAAAAGAACAAUUUCACAAAAACAUGGAUUUAAAGAAGUAGUGGGCAGCAAUAUUCAGUGCCGCAGAAAAGGCUCUAGAUUUUAUGAGUAGGAAGUCUCGUGACCUUUAAGAGCACAGGGUUCCAUAGAAGGGUGAGGACAGAAACGAAAUUUGAAAGGAUUAAGGAAUGAGUGAAGUAUAAGAAAAUGUGACAGUAUUUUUUCAAAAUGAAUAAUCAAGCAAUGAAACAUGGAGGAACCUCAAAUGCAUGCCACUAAGUAAAAGAAGCCAGUGUGAAAAGGCUGCAUGACUGUAUGAUUCGAGCUACAUGGCAUUCUGGAAAGGGCAAGCCAUGGAGACAAUGAAAAGAUCAACGGCUGCCAGGGAUUGCAGGGAGGAAAGGAUAAACAGGCAGAGCACAUCAAAUUUUUAGGGCAGGGAAACUAGUCUGUAUUAUACUAUAAUGGUGGGUACAUGUCAUUAUGCAUUUGUCAAAACCUGUAAAAUGUACACCAAAAGUCAACUCUAAUGUACAUUAUGGACUGAGUGAUUAUGAUGUGUCAGUGUAGUUCAUUGGUUGGAACAAAUGUACUCUGGUGGGAGACGUUAAUAGUAGAUGUUGGCCGGGCAUGGUGGCUCACGCCUGUAAUCCCAGAAUUUUGGGAGGCCGAGGAGGGUGGAUCACGAGGUCAGGAGUUCAAGAGCAGCCUGGCCAAGAUGGUGAAACCCUGUCUCUACUAAAAAUACAAAAAUUAGCCCAGCAUGGUAGCAGGCGCCUGUAAUCCCAGCUACUUGGGAGGCUGAGGCAGAGAAUCACUUGAACCCGGGAGGCAGAGGUUGAGUGAGCCGAGAUCACGCCAUUGCACUCCAGCCUGGCAAUAGAGUGAGACUCCAUCUCUAAAUAAAUAAAUAAAUAAAUAAAUAAAUAAAUAAAUAAAUAAAUAAAAUGAAGUCAAUUUUAAAAGAAUGUAUAACCAUUUUUAUUAAUAUAAACUUCUGUGUUACAUACAUGUAUUACUUUUAUUGUAUCAUUUUAUAGCCCUUAAAAAUUUCAACAAAAUGUAAAAAUGUAUUUUUGUGACCAAUGAAAUAAGUGGAGUAAAGUGAUAUUGUUCAGCUAAAUAUAUGAUAGAUAUAAGAAUUUAGUUACAUUUCUGGAAUGACAGAGUGGUGAUGAAUUUUAUAGCAUUAUGACGUAAGUAAGAAAUGUUAGGUCUGUCUUCGGAUGUCUAUUGUAUGUUCCAGUUAUUUAUUGCUGUGUGUAACACACCACACCAAAACUUAGUAGCUUAAAACAGUCAUUUAUUGUUAUGUUCCAUUUUUCUGGGGGUUGACGAAGCUGAGCGUUACUCACUUUUGUGUCCUUCAAAUGGUUGCAGAAAUAUGACAGAUGAGGCUGGAAUUCUGAAAGCUUCUUUACUCACAUGCCUGGCUCCUAGACUAGAAUAGCUAGAAUACCUGUGGGCUGGUCAGGAUUUCUCCCUCUUUUGUCUCUCCACAUAGCCAUAGUGUGGCUUGGGUUUCAAACAGCGUGGCAUUUCAAGACCAGGAAUUCCAGGAGACCCAGGUAGAAGCUUCAAAGUGUGGGAAGUGUUGGAAGUCAUACAGCGUCACUUCCACUAUAUUCUAUUUGGCAAAUCUGUCACAAAUGAGCCCAGAUUCAAGGGAGUAGAGCAAUAGAUAGAUACAGGGAGGAGAGAAAUUGAUGGUAGCCAACUGAAAACAAGAAACAAGCUACCACAAUCUAUUUAGGGGAUAUUUAUAAAAACAUAGAGACACACAUGCACAAACAACACACACGUACACACAUACAUGCAGAUAAAUACAUUUUUAUGAAAAAAUUAAGAAUUAUUAUGAAUGUUCAAGUAUACAAUAAUAUGCAAAGGGAAAACCUUAAUAAUUAAAGUAGGAAAUGAGACUAACUCUGAGAAGAGUAAUCAAAGACAUUGUAUUUUUUUUUCAGUAAGAUCAAGUAAGUCAUUCCAAACUGUCUGGCGUCCUGUCCCAAAACAUCUCUGAACUUCUCAGUUCAAGAAGUAAGUUCCAGAAUUUAUUUGGCAAAGGUAGCUUAUGUUCACAGUACUGUCUCUGGUUUUCCAGUCUGUCUCCUAGUCAUAGGCCCCUAAAGUCCACCAGCCCUUACACUUCCGGCUGCAUGCUUGCAAAAUCUACUAUGUAGUUCUGAUUUUGUAAUUUUCAUUUCAAUGAGCAUGAAAACUUUUAAUACUGAACGUCCAGAAAAGAUCUUGUUUUCUUUUAUUCCCUUUCCUUUAGGUCAUUUUCUUGUAGUUUUCUUCUUUCAUUCAAUUUUGAUAAGACUUCUUUCUUUGAAAAUGACAUUUAAAAAUAAGGUUAACACACAAGUUAUUACUUUAAUAAAGCACAUAACGUAUACCUUAUAAAAUAUUUUGAAUGCUUUAGAAACUUGUCUUUGCUGCACACAGGCAGAAUGGAGUAAUAUUUUAAGAUUUCCUGCAACUAGAAAGGUAUGGAAAGUCUUACUGAUUUAUAUUGUGUUCUGACUUCCUGAGGCAGUUUUCCUAAUGCUAUUCCAUUUUAGUCAUACCAUGAAACAGAGCUUGCUCAUUUAUUGUGUUUUUUUUUUUUUAAUCAGAAUUCAGUGUAGAACUUUGUAUUUCAGUUUUGUUUGUUGUUUCUUUAGCUUAAUUUCUAUGGAAUUUUAUAGUAAUAGCAGUUUUAUUUUAUAAAAGUUCUCUUGCUGGGAGGAUAAUUCUGUAAGCAUUUGAGAAAAGGAAUUCCCAGUUCAAUUUUCAAAAUUAUUUUCAAAAAUAAAUAACCUGACUAUUUAACAUAUAUAGUGUUCCAGACUUGCAUUUAUUGCCUGUACUAUGUAAUUAAAGAUUUUAUUAUCUAUAGUUACUUGGGAAGACACAUCUUUUACAUCAGUGUUUGUUUCUCAGGACAGGAAACAUUUAUUACGGUUCUUUUGUAUUCCUAAAGUACCAUAGUUCUUUUUUUUUUUUUUUUUUGGGGGGGAGAGAGUCUUGCUCUGUCACCCAGGCUGGAGUGCAGUGGCACGUUCUUGGCUUACUGCAGCCUCCACCUCCUGGGUUCAAGUGAUUCUCCUGCCUCUGCCUCCUGAGUAGCAGGGACGACAGGCAUGUGACACCACACCCGGCUAAUUUUUGUAUUUUGGUAGAGAUGGGUUUUCACCAUGUUGGCCAGGCUGGUCCUGAACUCCUGACCUCAGGUGAUCUGCCUGCCUUGGCCUCCCAAAGUGCUGGGAUUACAGGCGUGAGCCACCACGUCCAGCCUUAAAGCUCAUACCAUAGUUCUAGACAAAUAAUAUGUAGAUGCUCACUUGAUAAAAGGGUGUUUAUGUUGUAUUCUUUCCAUUUAAUUCUUGUAAUUUGAGUCUUACUUGCCUUCCUUAACCAUACACCAUAGAAACAUUAUAGAAUUUCUUUUAUUUUUUUUUCCAUCAACUUUUAUUUUAUGUCCCAGGGUACAUAUGCAGGAUAUGCAGGUUUGUUACAUAGGUAAAUGUGUGUCAUGUUUGUUGGCUGCACAGAUCAACCCAUCCCCUAGGUAUUAAGUCUGUCACCCAUUAGCUAUUCUUCCCUGAUGCUCUCCCCCAACCUUUACCCCAACACAGGCCCCUGCGUGUAUUGUUCCCCCGCACCAUAUAUCCAUGUGUUCCCAUCCUUCAGCUCCCACUUAUAAGUGAGAACAUGCGAUGUUUGGUUUUCUGUUCCUGCAUUAGUUUGCUGAGAAUAACAGCUUCCAGCUCCAUCCAUGUCCCUGCAAACAACAUGAUCUUGUUGCUUUUUAUGGCUGCAUAGUAUUAUGGACUUUUUUAUGAUGUAGCUUAGUCUUAAUAACAUUACUGGUUAUUUGUGCAUAAGAUCUUUCUGAUUUAAAUCUUUCCCCUAAAUAUUAAAACAGAAAUGGGAAAAUUUAAUCUUUCUGAAAAGAUCUCCUCUUUUUGUCAUGUGGUUUUUAAUGGCUUUUUAUUAAUACAGUCUCGAGCAGGGGUCUCCAACCCCCAGGCCACAGAUGGGUACCAGUCAGUGCCUGUUAGGAACCAUGCAGCACAGUGGGAGGUGAGUGGUGGGAGAGACAGCAUUAUUGCCUGAGCUCUGCCUCCUGUCAGAUCAGGGGCGACAUUAGAUUUUCAUAGCAGCAGGAACUCUAUUGUGAACUGCGCAUGCGAGAGAUCUAGUUUGUGCUCUCCUUAUGAGAAUCUAAUGCCUGAUCAUCUGAGGUGGAACGGUUUCAUCCUGAAACCAUUCCCCCAACCCACUCUGUGGAAAAAUUGUCUUCUACAAAACCAGUCCCUGGUGCCAAAAAGGUUGGGCAUUGCCAUUAUAUAUAAUAGCUGAAGCGUAUAUACCAGGACAUUUUUUUAAGUUCAAAAUAUAAUUAGAGGCAUCUCAUUAAGAUUUGUUUGUUUGUUUGUGACGGAGUCUCCCUCUGUCGCCAGGCUGGAAUGCAGUGGUGCGAUCUCAGCUCACUGCAACCUCCGCUUCUCGGGUUCAAGUGAUUCUCCUGCUUCAGCCUCCCGAGUGGCUGGGACUACAGGCAUGUGCCACCAUGCCCAGCUAAUUUUUUGUAGUUUUAGUACAGAUGGGGUUUCACCACGUUGGCCAGGAUGGCCUCGAUCUCCUGACCUCGUGAUCCUCCUGCCUCGGCCUCCCAAAGUGCUGGGAUUACAGGCGUGAGCCACCACUCCUGGCCUAAGGUUUUUUUUUUUGGAUUUUUUUUUUUUUAGAUGGCCUCACUCUGUUCCCCUAGGCUGGAGUGCCAUGGAAAGAUCCUAAUCUUUUCAAGGCUCACUGCAGCCUUGACCUCUUGGGGUCAAGUGAUCCUCCCUGAGUAGCUAGGACCACAGGUGCAUCACCUGUCUCAGCCUCCUGAGUAGCUCCUCAGCCUCCUGAGUAGCUAGGACCACAGGUGCAUCACCACACCCAGCUAAUGUUUUUUAUUAUUUUGGUACAGACAGGCUCUCCCUAUGUUGCCCAGGCCGGCCUCAAACUCCUGGACUCUAGUGAUCCUCCUGCCAAGUGCUUUGGGAGCACUUGGCCUCCAAAGUGCUGGUAUUAUAUGUAUGAAUCACUGUGCCCAGCCCUCAUUAAGAUUUAAGAGAAGACUUUUACUCCCUGCAUGCAAUGGCUUAUACUCACAAAUCUCAGCAAAUAUCAGUUCUUCAAAUGACAUGACACUGACAAGAAAUGGAAAGAACCGUUAAGAAUAAUAAAAAAGAGAAAGCUAACUUACAGUGACAUAGAAAGAAAUGAGACAUUUCCAGAGAAGUAGUCAGUUCUUGUGAUUAUUAAUUUUCUUCCUUCUAAACUGACUAAUAAAUAGCAUUUUCAGUUACUUGCACCUUUGAAGCUUUCUGUAGCAGCAUUGUUUCCAUCACUGUGACAUAAGUCUCCUGAGUACAACUCUUAAAAUUAACCCUUUUGAGGUUGCCAGUGGUUUCAGUUUCUUUAUAUUCUUCUGCCUGUCACGCAGAAAAGUAAAUCAUUUUCUCUAAAUUUGUCAUCUUUUCUACUCUGUUAUAGACCCGUCUUCAUAUUUUAAUUUCCCUUAACUUUUGCAGUCUGAACAAAUGAAGAAAUCACAUUUGUAUCUUAUUUUAAGUCCUCAUCAAAAAUUCAAUUCCUUUUGGAGUUUUUCAAAAGCUUUCAAUAGUGGAGGAGUUAUAAGGAGAAGCGAGGUCAGAUGGUUGACAGGAAGUGGGUAAAGUGUUUCAUUGAGGAAGAGUGUGGGGUUAAAGAACACACAAUAAAAGGAGACAAAGGAAGAAGUAGGGCCCCGUGGAAACAAGAGUCAUAAAGACAUAGAAGUGGAGUGCCAAAUGUCUAUAUUUCUUCACAAAGAUGACAAGAUUUGAAAAUACACGUCAGUGACAGUGGCUGGCAAUCAACUACCACGAUAGACCAUAAUGAAAGCCGGGUGGACAAGUAUUCAUUUCUUUGAAAUGAAUACUUUGAAAUGAAUAACUUUGAAAGGCUCAGAUAAGGUCUCUGGUGUAAAGGAAAAUACUCUACAAAAAUUGAUGCUUAAAUGUACAUGGGAGGAGCUUCUGACAAUGUUCUAUUUCUUGACUUUGUUAAUGAUCAAUUAUGCAUUUUGGGAUGAUUCAUUGAGUAAUACACUAAUUUGGGGCACUUUUCUGUGUGAGUGUUAUAUUUCAAUUAAAAAUGAAAGAGUAGCAAAUAAUAAAUAUUUG